rnacentral:rRNA from 1 species
GAUGAACGCUGGCGGCGUGCCUAAUACAUGCAAGUCGAGCGAACGGACGAGAAGCUUGCUUUUCUGAUGUUAGCGGCGGACGGGUGAGUAACACGUGGAUAACCUACCUAUAAGACUGGGAUAACUUCGGGAAACCGGAGCUAAUACCGGAUAAUAUUUUGAACCGCAUGGAUCAAAAGUGAAAGACGGUCUUGCUGUCACUUAUAGAUGGUUCCGCGCUGCAUUAGCUAGUUGGUAAGGUAACGGCUUACCAAGGCAACGAUGCAUAGCCGACCUGAGAGGGUGAUCGGCCACACUGGAACUGAGACACGGUCCAGACUCCUACGGGAGGCAGCAGUAGGGAAUCUUCCGCAAUGGGCGAAAGCCUGACGGAGCAACGCCGCGUGAGUGAUGAAGGUCUUCGGAUCGUAAAACUCUGUUAUUAGGGAAGAACAUAUGUGUAAGUAACUGUGCCCAUCUUGACGGUACCUAAUCAGAAAGCCACGGCUAACUACGUG